rnacentral:lncRNA from 1 species
AGCAUUUAUUAAUAGUUUUCUUAGGAUAAGCUUUCAGAAAAUUUGCCUGCAAGUCUGGUCUCAGACUUGAGCCAGUCUUAUUAAUCAAUCAAUCAACAAAUGUAUGGUUAACAGUUACUAUUAUGGCCAUAUAAGUCCAAGAAUCUGAAAUGCUACUAUGUAAGCUAGUUAUAGUUUGGAGAUUUUGCAUUUUCUGGCAUAUAAAUUGCAUAUCUACAACUUUAUACCCACAACUGGCAAACCACUUUUGAAUUCCCAAAAGAGUUGGUCUAAUUCCACAGUGUGUCCGCAGGUCAACAUUCUGUGAGGAAGAGUUUUCAGAGUUUUGCUCACAGCGUGCAGCUCAGGGAAGUGGUUAAGCGCAAUGAGCAAUCUGGUAAGUGGGGCUUUUCCUAGUAGCACCCCAGCCAAGGAAACGUUCGACAGUAGAAGACAGGAUGCAAACUUGAAGGAAGAGCUUCUGAGUAGUGGGUGUAUCAGUCAGGGUCCCAGCAAGAAACAGAUGGCACACUCAAAUUAGGAUAAUUUGAGAGGGGUCCAUUUACAAAAAGAAAAUUAUAAAUAUGGGAGUUGGGGUAGGGAAAUUGUUAUAGUAGUGCAGGAAUUUGGGGCUACUAACUGUGGGGUUGUCACCACCCCUAUGUCUGAAGGACCAAGACAAGGGAGAGGUUACCAGAAGUUGGAGGGGAAAAGAGUGGUAAAGAGUAGGUCAUCUUCUGUCCAGGGACACAGCCUGCCCGGGAUGACCUCACUGGAAAGGAGCCAGGGGAAUAAGUACUUCUAUUUCACUCUUCUCCCACUUCUGAUCUCUUGUUGGGCUCUCUUUUGGCAAGAACCCAACAAGAGUCUAUACUGGUCAGCCUCCUUGGGCAGAAAGUGGUAACGGAUAACAGGUAGAGAGUUGAUCUUAGGGGAAAGGGAGGGUUCCUCCAGACAACCCUCCACCCGGAAGUUAGAUGUUUGAAAUCCCUCCUUUUUCAAGCAUGAAUAGCAUUUUUAAAAAUUGUGGUAAAAUACUGCAGGGGCAGAAAAAUUUUCCCUUUUUCCCUUCUAGGUUCUUUGGCUGGUCUAUUAAUUAAAUUGACAGAAGACAGAUUAACAGGAGAAAAACGAAUUUAAUUUUGUACAUACAGGAGCCCCAUAAAACAUAUGUGACUCAAAGAAGUGACGAAACAAGAAGCUUUUAUAUCUUUUAGACAAAUAAUAAAUUUGUGAAGGGCUGACAAAACAAAGGGGUUUGGGCUUGGGGUAGUAAAUUGGUUAAGAAGUUACAAGUUUUGGGGCUGGCCCCAUGGCUGAAUGGUUAAGUUUGUGUGCUCCGCUUCGGUGGCCCAGGGUUUCACUGGUUCGGAUCCUGGGCUUGGACAUGGCACUGCUCAUCAAGCCAUGAUGUGGUGGCGUCCCACAUGCCACAACGAGAAGGACUCACAACUGAAAAUACACAACUAUGUACCAGGGGGCUUUGAGGAGAAAAAAAAAUAAAAUCUUAAAAAAAAAAAGAAGUUACAAGAUUUGUUUACAAAGCCUUCUUCACCCUAAAUUCCCUGUCUCUGGUGAGAAGGAUGCCUUCUCCCCUUCUAGUACAGGAAAAGGACCUUUCACAUGGGAGACUGAGCUCCUGCCUGAAAGCAGUGUCCUUUCUUGCACUGGCUUUUUCUCAAGUACCUUUAAUUCAAAAUAAUCAAUAUGCCAAAGUGGCAUAUUUUGGGGUGACAUUCUGAACCUCUACAAUACACAUACUAUAAAAUUUAUCCUCUUAACCAUUUUUAAGUAUACGGUUCAGCAGUGUUAAGUAUAUUCACAUUAUUGUGCAGCCAAUCUCCAGAACUCUUUUCAUCUUGUAAAACCAAAACUCUAUACCCCUUAAAUAACUCCCCAUUCCCCACUCCACUUAGCUCCUGGCAACCGCCAUUCCACUUUCUGUCUCCAUGAAUUUGACUACUCUAGGUACAUCAUGUAAAUGAAAUCAUGUAAUAUUUGUUUUUUUCGUAUGGCUGGUAUUUUUAAGGACAGUGUUCAUAGGCAUUUUGUAGAAACAUUUAGUUGCGGUCAUUAAUAGAGCAUUUUCAAUUUCAAAAAAUGUUCCCCUUCCUGGGGAUUCCAAAUGUCACAGAUUUGUGGCACAAUAAAAAAUAAUAGAAAUAGGGUCUUAGAAUCACAGUUAACAAAAAUCAGGGUAUGUUAUGGUUAGAGAAAAAAAUUUUAAUAUGUCAAAUUUGAAACAAGGAUGUGACAAUCAAAAAGGUAUGCUACAAAAAAGUGGAUUAGUGGAUAAUGUGUAAUUUACACAACAAAGGAGGAGGUGGGUAAAUGAUCCUGGACUGAGAACUAUUGUGACUAUUGCCUGCUAUGGGUUUACUGGUGUCCUCAUGGGGUGAGAGGGGAGUUUAAUGUAAGAAUUUCACUCUACUCAUGCUUUGGAUAGUUACAUUUUGUUGUAGAAAGUCGCAGAUUAGUAAACUGCAUGUAAAUCACACUGUUACUUGGGGGUCAGUGCUUCCUUUCGAGCUUUUAUAAAGUCUCCAGUUUAAAACUCUGGGUGUUUGCACGGAACUCCUUAAGGAUCGUUCCCAUGCACUCCCACACCCCUUUCCCCAAGUGUGAGGGAAUCCUACCCUUGUGAAGACCUGUCGACACUGCGCAUGUACCUCUGACAUAGAAAUCUACUCAGAAGGCACACAAUUAUGCGUCUGACUGUCCCCCACCAGCCCAAGGCAGGGAUUGCUCUUCCAUCUCUGCGUUUCCUCUACCUCUAGCACCUACUGCAAUGCAUGGAACAUGUAAAUGAUUAGUGCAUUUUUGCUGAAGGAAAGAAAAAAAGUGAUAUAAAUUAAAAUUUAAAGUAACCAUUAAAAGAAACAAGAAUAUAUCACCCUAAAAUGUUCCUUUUUGACAUAAAAAUUAUUUUGAGCUGAAGGCAAUUGAGAAGCAGCAAACAGAAAAAGCUCCCCCAUUUCUGCCUCAAGGCAGCUAUAAAAUCUCCUUUUACUGGAAACAGACUCUUACCAGACCAGAAGCAGCACCAGAGGAAUCUGGAAACCUCCCUCCAUUCAUCCUCUCCCGUAUAUAGUUACCUUCCCACAAUUUGCCACCCUUGAAAGCUUAAAACGGCUUAACAUUGUCCUGUCAUUUCCCUACAAAUAUACUGUUUUUUGUUGAAGACGCUACCUAAGCCAAAAUUCUAAGCCACCACUUUGAGCUACUUUUAGCUUAGGUUUCUCCCGGGUGAUGUGUGCUGCGUGUGUUAAUAAACUGGUUUUCUCUUGUUAAUCUGUCUUUUUGUGCAGAGUCCCAGCUGAGAACCUAAGCUGUGUAGAGGUAAAGUUUUUGCUCUCUACCCCAUUCAUGAGGUGGACCAGGUGAUAAUAGCUAGUAUUGUUUUGGUUGCUGGUCGUAUACCAAGCCUGCUUCGAGGCUGCGCAAUCUUCCCUAGCAUGUGGCCCCUCCAUUGUCAAAGUCAGUGAUGGAGAAUCUCCCUUGCAUCAAAUCUCCCUCAUGUUUGAGUCUCUCUUUCCAGGAAGAGCCCAGUCCCUUUAAAGGCUCAUCUGAUUAGGUCAGGCUCAGCAAGGAUAAUCUCCCUAUCUGAAAGUCAACCGAUUUAGGACCUAAAUCAUGCCUGCAAAAUCCGUUCACAGCAGCACCUAGGUUAGGGUUUCAUUGACUAACUGGGGAAAGAUGUGGGCACACUAGUGGUGGUGGGGUAUCUUGGAAUUCUGCCCACCAUGGGGGGUAACAGUGCUUCUUCCUUGCCUCCAGCCAGGGAGACAGAGGCAAGCGAGGGCAAGAUGAUGGACGUUACUGAGGGGGGACCAGAGGGUGCUCUGGGGGCUGAGAGCAGGAAGUGAUGCUUAAGGAGUAGGUAUUAACUAAGAGAACAGAGUGGAAAUGCAAUGAAGUGGGGGAAGGUGGAGGCAAGGGAAAAGCAUUUAUCAAGGGAUGGAAGCGUAAAUGACUAAGGCAUAUUUAAGGAACUAUAAUUAGCCCACUAUGACCCGAGUUGGUACAUAUCAUAGCCAGCCUUACAAAUCAUGCUAAUGAGUUUGGAUUUUUAUUCUAAGCACAAUGGGAAGACAUUGAAGGGUUUUAAGCAAGAGUGACUUGAAGAGAUUGGCACUUUAAAAAUAUCACCCUGGCUAUAGUUUGAAAAAUGUAGUGAAGAGGGUGGCCAUAGUAGAGUUAGGGAGACCACUGGAGAUGGCCAGGACCAGGAGGGUGCCAGUGGAGAGAAGAAGGCAGAUUUGAAAGGGAUACAGAGAGUAGUUGGUUGGUUUCGAAGGGUGAUCUGUAUCUCUCCAAUUAGAGGAGUUAUAGGAUUAAGGUGGCUGCAUGUAUUUUAAUUCACAAUUGCCCCUUUUUAGUACCCAAGCUGUGCCCUCUCCACUCACAAGAUCUUUAGGUUGCAACGAGACAGCAGAUCAUUUGUAUCCUUUUGGAAUACUUAUUCCAUUGGUUUGGAAUAUUCUACUGGGAAUAAGUAUUUAAGCAGGAUACAAAAGAUCUGAAUUCCAGUGCCCUGUUUCCUUAUCUGCUUAAUGAGGGGAUUGAAUUGCAAACCUCAAAGAUCGAUUCUAGGGCUGACCUUCCUUAACUCACGGAAGCUAAUCAGGCACUGGGUUCACACGCCCCUCAGGCUGGUGCGAGUUGCUGAUUUGCUGGCUGCAAUAAUAGAGGAAUCGGCAGGACCCGGUGACUGUAAUGCCUGUUUGGAUCAAGGGCUACCCCAAAGGAAGAAUUUUUGUACUACUCCAACCCAGGAGUAAUGCAAAGGUAGUACCAGAGACAGGCAUGCCUGUAAAUUCCACCUGGUGCCUCUGGAAUCUGCCCAGCGUGUCACCUGGCAGGGUUAUCUACCUUGAGCACAUUGGGGAUUUAACUAGAUUCUAUUUCCCUUUAAUUUCUCCUUUCUCAGUAGAAGAAGAUGCAUUGAGUAUAGUGAAUUACAUGAAUUCAACAUAAAAUGUACUGCGUUCUAAAGCUUCAUUCUGCUCUGUCCUCAGAAAUUCCAACCAGCAGCAGAGCUCCGUGUCUGGGGAGAGAUGCCUGAAUGUAAUCUGCAAGGGAUGAAUGGCGAUGAGAGAGCUCUGCCCGGGGCUUCCCUACCCAGUGCCAAGCUGGGCUCCCCCAGGCAAAUCCAGCCAUAAAGCAGAUAUGGUGGGGUUUCUCCACCUGUUUAGGGCCCAGACCCAUUUCCCUCUGUGCAUGAUGCCUUUCUUCAGAAUGCAUCUCAUAAUUUGCCUUUAUGUGCAUUUUAAUCUAAUUUCACUGGUAAUGGCUUAGAUGAGUUGUAGAAAGUGCAUUUUAUUUUAGUCCACUAGAGGGAACCAGAGGAAUUUAGACAUGAGUGUCAACAAGAUUUUUAAUGUUCUCAGAGAAAUUUCCAGGGGUUCUCAAAGUGGGCUUACUGUUAGAAUCACUGAGGGGUGGUGUUUUGUUUUUUUUUUUUAACUUAUUUUGGAUUUUUAAACAAUGGCUUAUUUUUUAGAGCAGUUUUAGGUUCACAGCAAAGCUGAAAGGAAGGGAAGUUUUAAAAAUAUGUAGAUUUCCAGGCCCUGUCCCAGAUCCACAAAAAUCAGAAGCUUUGAGGGUGAGGUCUGGAAAUCUCUAUUGUAAGUGUUAGUGGAACUCCUGCCUUUGUAAAAAAUCUACUGAACUAUAUAUACUUAAAGCCAAGAGCAGAGCAAGAGGGACUGAAUGUUAUGUAGCAUACACGACAGGAUGUAAGAACAGAGGCUCACGAGGAUUUAAGCAUAAAAAAACAAAAAAGAGGUUAAACACUUGGAGAUAGUCAAUAUUUAGAAUAUGAGUCAUAUUUUUCUGAACAGUUUCAAUUGUUAAACAGAAUCCACAUGAUUUACUUCGAGCCAGAGGAAAAUCUGAAAACUACCAUUAGCGUAAGACUUCCAGUUCCAGAAACGAGAUUUUUAGGGAACCCCCAAUUCAGGAAACAGCAUAUUGUUUCUGAAAUAAGCGUUUCGUGAAAGACUGCCAGCUUCCUAUGGAUCUUAUCCAGGGAGUAGAAAUAAAUGCCCUAGAUCCGAUUGCCGUGAGACACAGAUGUUUCCAUAGUAUCAAGUACAUUCUGGCAGACUGGCCCAAACACACAAGCUGCUUAGAAAAAUUGCAGGAAGAAAAGAGGGCUCAUGGAUCAUCAUAGGAGAGGAUUUAAUAAAUCCUUUCUGCAUAAAAGCCAGUUUAAAAUAAAAUGAAAUUAAUCUGAUUGAUUUAUAAGAAAGUGUGUUAGAAAACCCGACUGAUAUGAAGAAAAUUAGUAACCUAUUUUAAGAUACACUGGACUCCCUGCCCUAUGGACGUGGCUGGCCCUAUGGAAAUUUGCAAAUUUAUUUGUUUAAACCAACAUCAAAUAGCCAGAAUCCUUGUGAUAAGAGCUGGUCUUUGUAACAGGUCUCUGACACCUAGCUUGAAUAUCAAGUAAAAACUGUAACAAUGCUCUACACCCCGCCCUGCCCCAAGACCCACCCAAACUGGGUUUUGCUGCAAUCUCAUGGCCAGAAUUGUAUUUCCACAUGCC